AUGGAGAAGACAGAUGAUGUAGAAAUCGAAAAGAAAAGGGAUGCAGAAAAACCGAUGUUUAAGAAGAAGAGAAGGGGAGCAAAUGGGAAUCCAGCUGUCAAAAUUUUGGCUAAGGCAAACAGAAAGACGAACAAGGAAGAUGAUUGCCCGUUUCACAGGCUAGAAAUCUACCCUGUCAAAUGUGUAGUGAAGACACGUGAAAGAAAGGGCUGCAAAGAGGUACUUGUCCAUUGGCUCCCAUGCCCCUCAUGCCAAAAGACCUGGCCCCCAUCUUGGGAACCCCAAGAUAAUGUAACCAUGGCCCUGUCAUAAGGACACAGUCAUUUAUUGAACAAGUUAAAAAUAUAAUAAUAGCCGUUUCGUUCUGAACGCGCCUUCCGCUCUUGCCACUUGGAAUUCAUGAGCCUUGCCAAGUUGCCCCGCCCGUCACAGCAUCUGAUUUGUUUGGCACACGGAAUACAACCAAUCAACACGCAAGGCUGCAAGCGGGGCGGGGUGCCUUCACGCUCCCUGUGACUCGUGAGCGGUUUCUAGACGGCCAAGUGGGGCUAAGGACGGUGCUGCGAAUUCAACUUAAAGCAG
ensembl:lncRNA